GACGAACGCUGGCGGCGUGCUUAACACAUGCAAGUCGAACGGAAAGGCCCUGCUUUUGUGGGGUGCUCGCGUGGCGAACGGGUGAGUAACACGUGAGUAACCUGCCCUUGACUUUGGGAUAACUUCAGGAAACUGGGGCUAAUACCGGAUAGGAGCUCCUGCUGCAUGGUGGGGGUUGGACAGUUUCGGCGGUUGGGGAUGGACUCGCGGCUUAUCAGCUUGUUGGUGGGGUAGUGGCUUACCAAGGCUUUGACGGGUAGCCGGCAUGAGAGGGUGACCGGCCACAUUGGGACUGAGAUACGGCCCAGACUCCUACGGGAGGCAGCAGGGGGGAAUAUUGCACAAUGGGCGGAAGCCUGAUGCGGCAACGCCGCGUGCGGGAUGACGGCCUUCGGGUUGUAAACCGCUUUCACCUGUGACGAAGCGUGAGUGACGGUAAUGGGUAAAGAAGCACCGGCUAACUACGUG
rnacentral:rRNA from 1 species